rnacentral:rRNA from 1 species
AUACGUAGGGUGCAAGCGUUAAUCGGAAUUACUGGGCGUAAAGCGUGCGCAGGCGGUUUUGUAAGACAGAGGUGAAAUCCCCGGGCUCAACCUGGGAACUGCCUUUGGGACUGCAAGGCUAGAGUACGGCAGAGGGGGAUGGAAUUCCGCGUGUAGCAGUGAAAUGCGUAGAUAUGCGGAGGAACACCGAUGGCGAAGGCAAUCCACUGGGCCUGUACUGACGCUCAUGCACGAAAGCGUGGGGAGCAAACAGGAUUAGAUACCCUGGUAGUCCACGCCCUAAACGAUGUCAACUGGUUGUUGGGUCUUCAUUGACUCAGUAACGAAGCUAACGCGUGAAGUUGACAACCUGGGGAGUACGGCCGCAAGGUUGAAACUCAAAUGAAUUGACGGGG